UACGUAGGGGGCCAGCGUUGCUCGGAAUUACUGGGCGUAAAGGGUUCGUAGGCGGUGCGGUAAGUUGGGAGUGAAAUCUCUGGGCUUAACCCAGAGGCUGCUUUCAAAACUGCCGUGCUCGAGUGCGAGAGAGGUCAGUGGAAUUGCAGGUGUAGCGGUGAAAUGCGUAGAUAUCUGCAGGAACACCCGUGGCGAAGGCGGCUGACUGGAUCGCAACUGACGCUGAGGAACGAAAGCUAGGGGAGCAAACAGG
rnacentral:rRNA from 1 species